GACGAACGCUGGCGGCGUGCUUAACACAUGCAAGUCGAACGGAAAGGCCCUGCUUUUGUGGGGUGCUCGAGUGGCGAACGGGUGAGUAACACGUGAGUAACCUGCCCUUGACUUUGGGAUAACUUCAGGAAACUGGGGCUAAUACCGGAUAGGAGCUCCUGCUGCAUGGUGGGGGUUGGAAAGUUUCGGCGGUUGGGGAUGGACUCGCGGCUUAUCAGCUUGUUGGUGGGGUAGUGGCUUACCAAGGCUUUGACGGGUAGCCGGCCUGAGAGGGUGACCGGCCACAUUGGGCCUGAGAUACGGCCCAGACUCCUACGGGAGGCAGCAGUGGGGAAUAUUGCACAAUGGCGGAAGCCUGAUGCAGCAACGCCGCGUGCGGGAUGACGGCCUUCGGGUUGUAAACCGCUUUCGCCUGUGACGAAGCGUGAGUGACGGUAAUGGGUAAAGAAGCACCGGCUAACUACGUG
rnacentral:rRNA from 1 species